rnacentral:rRNA from 1 species
AGCAGCCGCGGUAAUUCCAGCUCCAAUAGCGUAUAUUAAAGUUGUUGCAGUUAAAAAGCUCGUAGUUGAAUUUCGGGAUCAAUUUAUUGGUCGUGCUAUUGUACGUACUGGUAUCAUUGAUUCCUACCUUCUGACGAACCAUGAUGUCAUUAAUUUGGUGUCAUGGGGAAUCAGGACUGUUACUUUGAAAAAAUUGAGUGUUUAAAGCAGGCUCACGCUUGAAUACAUUAGCAUGGAAUAACGAAAUAGGACGUUUGAUUCUAUUUUGUUGGUUUCUAGGAUCGACGUAAUGAUUAAUAGGGAUAGUUGGGGGCAUUAGUAUUCAAUUGUCAGGGGUGAAAUUCUUGGAUUUAUUGAAGACUAACUACUGCGAAAGCAUUUGCCAAGGAUGUUUCAUUAAUCAAGAACGAAAGUUAGGGAUCGAAGACGAUCAG